GCCCCCCUCAAGAUGAGAUUUCCCAAUUAGUAAGACCCCUUGAAGACGACGAGGUUGAUAGGCCUGAGGUGGAAGUGCAGCAAUGUAUGGAGCUGACAGGUACUAAUCGGUCGAGGGCUUAUCCAAAUAACUCCGAA
rnacentral:rRNA from 1 species